rnacentral:lncRNA from 10 species
AUUGAUUUCUAGUUUCAUUCCAUUGUGAUCUGGGAAGAUUAUUUGAUAUGAUUUUGGUAUCUUUAUGUUUUUUUGUGGACUAAUAUGUGGUCUAUCCUAGAGAAUGUUCCGUGUGCUAAUAAGAAUAUGUCUUCUGUGGCUGUUGAAUUAAAUCUUCUCUAAAUGUCUGUUAGAUCCAUUUGUUGUAAAAUGCAGUUUAAAGCUGAUGUUUCUGCAUUAAUAUUUUGCAUACCUAAUCUGUUCAAUAUGUGACUUCAUGCUUUUCUCUUGCUGUUAUUAUAACUUUUUCUUUGUCCUUGACUUUUCUCCAUUUGACUAUAAUGUGCUUUGGGGAUUACUUUUUGUGUUAAAUCUAUUUGGGAAUCUUUGAGCUUCAUAAAUGUAGAUAUCAAUAUCACUUGUAAGACUUGAAAUGUUUUUAAACUAUUAUUCUGUUAAAUGAACUUUCCAUGUUUUUGCCUAUCUCCUCGCUCUGAAACUCCCAGACUCAAAUAUUUUAUCACUUUAUGAUGUCAUAUAUGUCAUAUAAGCAGGCUUCAUCUUUCUUUUAUUUUCUUUUGUCUGAUGGUGUUAUUAAAAAACUUUUCAAGUUCAGAAUUUUUUUGUGAUUGAUCUAGUUUAUUGUUGUAGCUCUUCAUUGUAUUUUUAAAUUUUCAUUUAAUAAAUUCUUAAUUUCCAGGAUUUCUAUUUGGUUGCUUUUUAUUACAUCUAUAUCUUUAUUUAAUUUUUUAUUCAGCUUAGAAUUUUUUUCUGAUUUCUUUGUAUGGUUUAUCUGUGUUCUUUUGUAACUCACUGAGUUUCCUUAAUAUGAUUAUUAUUUUUCAGGUAAUUCAUAUAUUUCCUUUCCAUUAGGAUCUGUUACUGAAGCACUAUUAUGUUUCUUUGGAGUUGUCAUGUUUCCUUGCUUUUUCAUGUUCCUGUGUCCUUAUGUUGAUACCAAUGGUGAAAUAGUCACUGUUUCCCAAUUUAAUGGAUUGGCCUUCUUAGA